AGGCAGCAGGCACGCAAAUUACCCACUCCCGGCACGGGGAGGUAGUGACAAAAAAUAACGAUACGGGACUCAUUUGAGGCCCCGUAAUCGGAAUGAGUACACUUUAAAUCCUUUAACGAGGAUCCAUUGGAGGGCAAGUACGGUGCCAGCAGCCGCGGUAAUUCCGUCUCCAAUAGCGUAUAUUAAAGUUGUUGCGGUUAAAAAGCUCGUAGUUGGUUCUGCGUGCCACGCUGUCGGUUCGCCGCCUGCCGGUGCUACUGGCAUGCCGUGGCAUGUCCUGUCGGUGGGUGUCCGGGGCCCCGUGCGGGCGGCAGGAGGGUCGGGUCUUCCCGUUCUCCUCCCUGCACGUCGGCGGGUUCACUCCGGCUCCCUACUAUCCUACCUAGGUGCUCUUCACCGAGUGUCGAGGUAGGCCGACACGUUUACUUUGAACAAAUCAGAGUGCUUAAAGCAGGCUGAAAAAUUCUGCCUGAAUGAUGGCGCAUGGAAUAAUAAAACAGGACCUUGGUUCUAUUUUGUUGGUUCUUAGGAACACAAGGUAAUGAUCAAUAAGGACAGGCGGGGGCAUUCGUAUUGCGGGGUUAGAGGUGAAAUUCUUGGAUCCUCGCAAGACGACCGAAAGCGAAAGCAUUUGCCAAGUAUGUCUCGAUUGAUCAAGAACGAAAGUUAGAUGGUUCGAAGGCGAUCAGAUACCGCCCUAGUUCUAACCAUAAACGAUGCCAGCCAGCGAUCCGCCCCACCAGGAGUGGAGCCUGCGGCUUAAUUUGACUCAACACGGGAAACCUCACCAGGUCAGGACAUUGUAAGGAUUGACAGAUUGAUAGCUCUUUCUUGAUUCAGUGGGUAGUGGUGCAUGGCCGUUCUUAGUUGGUGGAUCGAUUUGUCUGGUUAAUUCCGAUAACGAACGAGACUCUAGCCUAUUAACUAGACGAUCCGAGAGUCCACGCCUCUCGCGAAGUAUACUCUUCUUAAGGGGACAGGCGGCUUAUAGUCGCACGAGAUUGAGCAAUAACAGGUCUGUGAUGCCCUUAGAUGUCCUGGGCCGCACGCGCGCUACAAUGAAAGAAUCAGCGUGUGUCUCCCAGCCCGAGAGGGCCGGGUAAUCCGCUGAACCUCUUUCGUGCUUGGGAUUGUAGCUUGCAAUUGUUCUUCAUGAACGAGGAAUUCCCAGUAAGCGCGAGUCAUAAGCUCGCGUUGAUUACGUCCCUGCCCUUUGUACACACCGCCCGUCGCUACUACCGAUUGAAUGAUUUAGUGAGGUCUUCGGACCGGCGGGAAAUCCCUAUCGCUUCGGCGGUAUCGACGAACGCUGGGAAGAUGACCAAACUUGAUCAUUUAGAGGAAG
rnacentral:rRNA from 1 species